UGUUCUCCUGCCUUGAGUUCCUGCCUCAGCUACCCUGGGAUAGACUGAAACCUGCUGUCACAAGAAAGCUGCCAUGGUUCAUUAAGGAGUUCCAGAAGUGGACAGAAGCAUUCUCGAUCAUUUCUUAUAAUAGACAUUUUUUGAAAACCAAAGAGAUCUGGAGUAUCCCAAGUGGACUGAGAAGCUCUGGAGAGGAAAGCAGACUUCAUUCAACACCUGUGGGCUGUUGGGCUCUGGGAUGCUUCUGAUGAGAGGAUAGACAAACCUCCCUGAAUAGUACCUACCACUCAGGACUGCAGGGAACUGAGCAGAGAUAGAAUCUUCCAUCCCCGAAGUCCUGCUUUCCAGCCUACAAAAGCCCGCACAUGUGCAGAUUCCUCUUCCACUCCCCUUUAGUUCUGAUGAAAAGAAAAUUCUGCUUCUGGAGAUGUCAGUCUUUCUGCUUCCACCUCAACUUCCAUCAGUCCGACAGACAGUGCCUUCAGGUGGCGGCCCAGAUCAAGAGAUGGAAGAUUUCCCACCAUUUGCUGGCCCAUUUACUAGCCAGCAACAUUGUAGCUGCUAAUGCUUCCUUCAUUGACAUCAGAGCCAGCAUUUCCAGGUCUCUAUCAUGGGCUAAGGACCAGAGACUCUUUUGGAACUCUC
rnacentral:lncRNA from 1 species